rnacentral:rRNA from 1 species
CUACGGGACGCAGCAGUGGGGAAUAUUGGACAAUGGGGGGAACCCUGAUGCAGCAACGCCGCGUGGAGGAUGACGCAUUUCGGUGUGUAAACUCCUUUUAUAUGUCAAGAAAAUGACGGUAGCAUAUGAAUAAGCGCCGGCUAACUCCGUGCCAGCAGCCGCGGUAAUACGGAGGGCGCAAGCGUUACUCGGAAUCACUGGGCGUAAAGGACGCGUAGGCGGGUUGGAAAGUCAGGUGUGAAAUCCUACAGCUUAACUGUAGAACUGCACUUGAAACUUCUAAUCUAGAGUAUGGGAGGGGGAGAUGGAAUUAGUGGUGUAGGGGUAAAAUCCGUAGAUAUCACUAGGAAUACCUAAAGCGAAGGCGAUCUCCUGGAACAUUACUGACGCUAAGGCGUGAAAGCGUGGGGAGCAAACAGGAUUAGAUACCCCGGUAGUC